CGCCCUAUAAGGACUCCCAAGCCAUAAUGAAAGUUCUCUUACUGAAAGACGCCAAGGAGGAUGACUGUGGCCAAGAUCCGUACAUCAGGGAAUUGGGGUUAUAUGGACUCGAAGCCACUCUGAUCCCUGUUUUAUCAUUUGAGUUUUUGUCUCUUCCCAGUUUUUCUGAGAAGCUGUCUCAUCCUGAAGGCUAUGGAGGACUCAUUUUUACCAGCCCCAGAGCAGUGGAAGCAGUGGAGCUGUGUUUGGAGAAAGACAAUAAAACGGAAGUCUGGAAACAUUCUCUGAGAGAAAAAUGGAAUGCUAAGUCAGUGUAUGUGGUCGGAAAUGCUACUGCUUCUCUAGUGAAGAAAAUCGGCCUGGACACAGAAGGAGCAAACUCUGGAAAUGCAGAAAAGCUUGCAGAAUACAUCUGUUCCCGGGAGUCACCGGCAUUGCCCCUUCUGUUUCCCUGUGGAACCGUCAAAGGAGAAAUCCUGCCGAAAAUGCUCAAGGACAGAGGGAUCCCCAUGGAAAGCAUAACUGUCUAUCAGAAGAUCCCACACCCAGGAAUCCAAGUGAACCUCAACAGCUACUAUUCUAAGCAGGGCGUUCCGGCCAGCAUCACGUUCUUCAGUCCCUCCGGCCUUACAUACAGCCUCAGGCACAUUCAAGAGUUAUCUGGUGACAGCAUCAAUCGAAUUAAGGUCUGGGAGCCACUUCGAGUUCACGAGUGUGUCUGCUGUGAGGUGGGGCCCAGCACCAUCUUUUCCUUAGGGAGUUUCUCGAGGAACAGCUGCAUCAUGAGGUGGAGCGGGGAGCUUGGUCUUCUGGGGGCAGCGGCCUCUGUCAUGUGGCUCUGACGUGCCCCAGAAAGUGUCCUGAGAUUGUUCCCUGCGCCACACUUGGCCCCGGGAGGGAGGAUGGAAGGGGGCGCCGGGUAAGGGCUACCAUCUUCCCAGACCUUCCCCCAGGUGGGGGUGCGUGCACCCAGGGUUGGGGUGGGGUGACGUGCAUGCUCUCCCCGCCAGAGCAACAGGCCUUACUUCCCCCCGUGCUAGCCUGCCAUGCAAGGGCAGCUGUACCCCUUCUACAGGUGAGGAAACAGGGCCAGAGGGGCUAAGUGACCUGUGAGGACACCUGGGCAAGGGCUGGGGUCACCACGACGGAAAACCACAUUCGGCCCCAAGCGAGGCUCUGCAUGUAACCAUCAAACACGCAAUGUUCAGGGAGAGAGGAGUCCUGCUGACACGGCUCAGGCCACCGAGCGUCUCACUCGGAGUAACCGUGUUCCCCCGCCGAGCACUCCUCUGUGGUGGGGCCCCAGCCAGUUUGCCGCCAUCGGCCCCAGCACAGCCCGUGCACUGACCGCCCAGGGCCUGCGUGUGAGCUGCAUGGCCGAGAGCCCCACGCCGCUGGCCCUGGCCAAGGGUCUCCAGGUGGCCCUUCAG